GGUUUCUUGGCCGAGUGGUUAGGCACAGCUCUGCAAAAGCUGCUACAGCGGUUCGAAUCCGCUAGAAACCUCCA
rnacentral:tRNA from 1 species